rnacentral:piRNA from 1 species
UUGACGACUGCCCACUUGCUAGCUG